rnacentral:rRNA from 1 species
CGGACGGGUGAGUAACACGUGGAUAACCUACUUAUAAGACUGGGAUAACUUCGGGAAACCGGAGCUAAUACCGGAUAAUAUAUUGAACCGCAUGGUUCAAUAGUGAAAGACGGUUUUGCUGUCACUUAUAGAUGGAUCCGCGCCGCAUUAGCUAGUUGGUAAGGUAACGGCUUACCAAGGCAACGAUGCGUAGCCGACCUGAGAGGGUGAUCGGCCACACUGGAACUGAGACACGGUCCAG